rnacentral:lncRNA from 1 species
GCACCAUCUGGUCCCCUGGGAGGUCAGUGCAGGGUUGCUCCAUUUUGACAUGAGUAAAUUCUAGAUUAGGUAUUUGGCAGCUAACUCAUCUGGAUAUAAGGAAACAGAAGUGCCAGACACGUAGAUAAUAUUUGAAGAACAGGAGCAUUCUUGGAACAUGCUGAAUAGAGGACAAGGAGAUGAGUAAAGAACUAUGAACAAAUCCAUUAAGUAUUCAAGAUUUAAGCAUUUAGAUAGUAAAUAGAGCAAACAGGGUGACAGAUAUCAGCCACUUGGUGUGUCUAGAGCAGUACUAAUUGACAGCUUGAGCUUGGUCCAGAAUGAUGAGAAAGCUCUUAUUCUUCCAUCAAGAAAGCUUUGUUUCAUUUCUCUUUUCACCUGGGUCACUGGCCUGAGGCACAAGGAAGAGAUCGAGAAAAGUCAACCACUCCUUGCUUGAUGAUGCAAAUUGCAUCAAGACCCUUUGCCUUCAAAAAUUCACAUGCUGAAGAUGGCAUUAGCUUCCGAACUAAUAUUUCUGACGCUUCCUCUGAGAUAGUUUUUGAGACCAAAGAUUUUACAGAAUGA